rnacentral:rRNA from 1 species
GACGAACGCUGGCGGCGUGCUUAACACAUGCAAGUCGAACGGAAAGGCCCUGCUUUUGUGGGGUGCUCGAGUGGCGAACGGGUGAGUAACACGUGAGUAACCUGCCCUUGACUUUGGGAUAACUUCAGGAAACUGGGGCUAAUACCGGAUAGGAGCUCCUGCUGCAUGGUGGGGGUUGGAAAGUUUCGGCGGUUGGGGAUGGACUCGCGGCUUAUCAGCUUGUUGGUGGGGUAGUGGCUUACCAAGGCUUUGACGGGUAGCCGGCCUGAGAGGGUGACCGGCCACAUUGGGACUGAGAUACGGCCCAGACUACUACGGGAGGCAGCAGUGGGGAAUAUUGCACAAUGGGCGGAAGCCUGAUGCAGCAACGCCGCGUGCGGGAUGACGGCCUUCGGGUUGUAAACCGCUUUCGCCUGUGACGAAGCGUGAGUGACGGUAAUGGGUAAAGAAGCACCGGCUAACCACG